GAAGCCCCAGUAAACGGCGGCCGUAACUAUAACGGUCCUAAGGUAGCGAAAUUCCUUGUCGGGUAAGUUCCGACCCGCACGAAAGGCGUAACGAUUUGGGCACUGUCUCAACGAGAGACUCGGUGAAAUCAUAGUACCUGUGAAGAUGCAGGUUACCCGCGACAGGACGGAAAGACCCCGUGGAGCUUUACUGUAGCCUGAUAUUGAAAUUCGGCACAGCUUGUACAGGAUAGGUAGGAGCCUUAGAAGCGUGAGCGCCAGCUUACGUGGAGGCGCUGGUGGGAUACUACCCUAGCUGUGUUGGAUUUCUAACCCGCGCCAUUGAUCAUGGCGGGAGACAGUGUCAGGCGGGCAGUUUGACUGGGGCGGUCGCCUCCUAAAGUGUAACGGAGGCGCUCAAAGGUUCCCUCAGAAUGGUUGGAAAUCAUUCAUAGAGUGUAAAGGCAUAAGGGAGCUUGACUGCGAGACCUACAAGUCGAGCAGGGUCGAAAGACGGACUUAGUGAUCCGGUGGUUCCGCAUGGAAGGGCCAUCGCUCAACGGAUAAAAGCUACCCCGGGGAUAACAGGCUUAUCUCCCCCAAGAGUUCACAUCGACGGGGAGGUUUGGCACCUCGAUGUCGGCUCAUCGCAUCCUGGGGCUGUAGUCGGUCCCAAGGGUUGGGCUGUUCGCCCAUUAAAGCGGUACGCGAGCUGGGUUCAGAACGUCGUGAGACAGUUCGGUCCCUAUCCGUCGUGGGCGUAGGAAAUUUGAGAGGAGCUGUCCUUAGUACGAGAGGACCGGGAUGGACAUACCUCUGGUGUACCAGUUGUCGUGCCAACGGCAUAGCUGGGUAGCUAUGUAUGGACGGGAUAAGUGCUGAAAGCAUCUAAGCAUGAAGCCCCCCUCAAGAUGAGAUUUCCCAACUUCGGUUAUAAGAUCCCUCAAAGAUGAUGAGGUUAAUAGGUUCGGGGUGGAAGCAUAGCGAUAUGUGGAGCUGACGAAUACUAAUCGAUCGAAGACUUAAUCAAAUU
rnacentral:rRNA from 1 species